UUUUGUUGCUUUUAGUGUUAGUUUUCUUGUCCACUAACACUUUGAGUCUAGAUCUAAACUUGAGCUUGAACUUGUUGAAUUUGUAGUUGUCUUGGCCAAGUGUUGGAGAUAUUGUUAUUGUGGUUUGGAGUUGGCCGUGUGAAAAAUUAUUGGUGUUCUUGAAGAUUAUUGUUGUAGUUCUUGGUGUUGUUGUUGUUGUUCUUGAUGUUCAUCACCACCUUCAUAUAUUAUUGAAGAUAAAGUGAAUGCUAA
rnacentral:lncRNA from 1 species